rnacentral:piRNA from 1 species
UCCAUGCCCGUGUAGAACUGCUCUGAAGA